UACGUAGGGGGCGAGCGUUGUUCGGAAUCACUGGGCGUAAAGCGCGUGUAGGCGGGUUUGCAAGUCGGAAGUGAAAUCCCCGGGCUUAACCUGGGAAUUGCUUUCGAGACUGCGAGUCUAGAGGUCGGUAGAGGGUGGUGGAAUUCCCCGUGUAGAGGUGAAAUUCGUAGAUAUGGGGAGGAACACCGGAGGCGAAGGCGGCCACCUGGACCGAAUCUGACGCUGAGGCGCGAAAGCGUGGGGAGCGAACAGG
rnacentral:rRNA from 1 species